UACGAAGGGGGCUAGCGUUGUUCGGAAUUACUGGGCGUAAAGGGCGCGUAGGCUGUGCUGUAAGUCAGGCGUGAAAGCCCCGGGCUCAACCUGGGAAUUGCGCUUGAUACUGCGGCGCUGGAAGGUGGGAGAGGAUGGCGGAAUUCCCAGUGUAGAGGUGAAAUUCGUAGAUAUUGGGAAGAACACCGGUGGCGAAGGCGGCCAUCUGGCCCAUUUUUGACGCUGAGGCGCAAAAGCGUGGGGAGCAAACAGG
rnacentral:rRNA from 1 species